AUGUCGUCGUACUUCCAGACCACUCAACCGUUUAGUAGGACUUACAAGAUCGGUAAACCCAAGGGCGGCGGGGACGGGCAGGGAGCUGAGGGAAAACAAGGAUCCGACGGUGCAGGCCGGCCGCGCGUGCGGAUAAUCACACACAACAACGACCACGAACCACGAGUCGUGCAGCACGAACAAGCUCCAGCUUCAUCUCCGCCUCCGGCCCCCGUCUCCUACUGAAUCAACUAGC
rnacentral:lncRNA from 1 species